rnacentral:rRNA from 1 species
AGCGGCGAACGGGUGAGUAACACGUGAGUAAUCUGCCUCUGGCUUCGGGAUAGCCACCGGAAACGGUGAUUAAUACCGGAUAUGACAUCUUCACGCAUGUGAUGGGUGUGGAAAGUUUUUUCGGCCAGGGAUGUGCUCGCGGCCUAUCAGCUUGUUGGUGGGGUAAUGGCCUACCAAGGCUUCGACGGGUAGCCGGCCUGAGAGGGUGACCGGCCACACUGGGACUGAGACACGGCCCAGACUCCUACGGGAGGCAGCAGUGGGGAAUAUUGGACAAUGGGCGGAAGCCUGAUCCAGCAACGCCGCGUGAGGGAUGACGGCCUUCGGGUUGUAAACCUCUUUCAGCACAGACGAAGCGCAAGUGACGGUAUGUGCAGAAGAAGGACCGGCCAACUACGUGCCAGCAGCCGCGGUAAUACGUAGGGUCCGAGCGUUGUCCGGAAUUAUUGGGCGUAAAGGGCUCGUAGGCGGUUUGUCGCGUCGGGAGUGAAAACACCGGGCUUAACUCGGUGCUUGCUUUCGAUACGGGCAGACUAGAGGCAUUCAGGGGAGAACGGAAUUCCUGGUGUAGCGGUGAAAUGCGCAGAUAUCAGGAGGAACACCGGUGGCGAAGGCGGUUCUCUGGGAAUGUCCUGACGCUGAGGAGCGA